rnacentral:rRNA from 1 species
AUCGAUGAAGAACGCAGCGAAAUGCGAUAAGUAAUGUGAAUUGCAGAAUUCAGUGAAUCAUCGAAUCUUUGAACGCACCUUGCGCCCUUUGGCUAUUCUGAAGGGCAUGCCUGUUUGAGUAUCAUGAACACCUCAACUCUCGUGGUUCGCCAUGAUGAGCUUGGACUUUGGGGGUCUUGCUGGCCUAGCGUCGGCUCCUCUCAAAUGGAUCAGCUUGCCAGUGUUUGGUGGCAUCACGGGUGUGAUAACUAUCUACGCUUGUGGUUUUCUGCCACGUAACCUUCAGCGAUGGAGGUUCGCUGGAGCUCACAGAUGUCUCUCCUCGGCGAGGACAGCUUUUUGAACGUUUGAUCUCAAAUCAGGUAGGACUACCCGCUGAACUUAAGCAUAUCAAUAAGCGGAGGAAAAGAAACUAACAAGGAUUCCCCUAGUAACUGCGAGUGAAGCGGGAAGAGCUCAAAUUUAAAAUCUGGCGUGCCUCUGGCCGUCCGAGUUGUAGUCUGGAGAAGCGUUUUCCGUGUUGGACCGUGUAUAAGUCUCUUGGAACAGGGCGUCAUAGAGGGUGAGAAUCCCGUCUUUGACACGGACUACCAAUGCUUUGUGAUGCGCUCUCAAAGAGUCGAGUUGUUUGGGAAUGCAGCUCAAAAUGGGUGGUAAAUUCCAUCUAAAGCUAAAUAUAGGCGAGAGACCGAUAGCGAACAAGUACCGUGAGGGAAAGAUGAAAAGCACUUUGGAAAGAGAGUUAAACAGUACGUGAAAUUGCUGAAAGGGAAACGCUUGAAGUCAGUCACGUCUGCCAGGACUCAGCCUCGCUUCUGCUUGGUGUACUUUCUGGUUUGAUGGGCCAACAUCAAUUUUGACCGUUGGAGAAAGGCCUUGGGAAUGUGGCACCUUCGGGUGUGUUAUAGCCCAUUGUUGUAUACGACGGUUGGGAUUGAGGACUGCAGCACGCCUUCAUGGCCGGGGUUCGCCCACGUACGUGCUUAGGAUGUUGGCAUAAUGGCUUUAAGCGACCCGUCUUGAAACACGG